UACGAAGGGAUCUAGCGUUGUUCGGAUUUACUGGGCGUAAAGGGCGCGUAGGCGGUUAUGUAAGUAAGAUGUGAAAGCCCUGGGCUUAACCCGGGAACUGCAUUUUAAACUGCAUAGCUUGAGUGUUGGAGAGGUAAGUAGAAUUCCCAGUGUAGAGGUGAAAUUCGUAGAUAUUGGGAAGAACACCGGUGGCGAAGGCGGCUAUCUGGCCCGUAAUUGACGCUGAGGCGCGAAAGCGUGGGGAGCAAACAGG
rnacentral:rRNA from 1 species